GUGGGGAAUCUUGCGCAAUGGGCGAAAGCCUGACGCAGCCAUGCCGCGUGGAUGAUGAAGGUCUUAGGAUUGUAAAAUCCUUUCACCGGUGAAGAUAAUGACUGUAGCCGGAGAAGAAGCCCCGGCUAACUUCGUGCCAGCAGCCGCGGUAAUACGAAGGGGGCUAGCGUUGCUCGGAUUUACUGGGCGUAAAGGGCGCGUAGGCGGACAUUUAAGUCAGGGGUGAAAUCCCGGGGCUCAACCUCGGAACUGCCUUUGAUACUGGGUGUCUUGAGUAUGAGAGAGGUGUGUGGAACUCCGAGUGUAGAGGUGAAAUUCGUAGAUAUUCGGAAGAACACCAGUGGCGAAGGCGACACACUGGCUCAUUACUGACGCUGAGGCGCGAAAGCGUGGGGAGCAAACAGGAUUAGAUACCCUAGUAGUCC
rnacentral:rRNA from 1 species